GAUGAAGAACGUAGCGAAAUGCGAUAAGUAAUGUGAAUUGCAGAAUUCAGUGAAUCAUCGAAUCUUUGAACGCACAUUGCGCCCUCUGGUAUUCCGGGGGGCAUGCCUGUUCGAGCGUCAUUAUAACCACUCAAGCUCUCGCUUGGUAUUGGGGUUCGCGGUUUCGCGGCCCCUAAAAUCAGUGGCGGUGCCUGUCGGCUCUACGCGUAGUAAUACUUCUCGCGAUUGGGUUCGAUAGGUCUACUUGCCAGUAACCCCCAAUUUUUACAGGUUGACCUCGGAUCAGGUAGGGAUACCCGCUGAACUUAAGCAUAUCAAUAAGCGGAGGA
rnacentral:misc_RNA from 1 species